CGGGUAGAUCUCCCACCCUUGAAUAACAUACAUUGUUGCUUUGGCGGACGCUUCGGCAGCCGCCAGAGAACCCUAAACUCUUGUUUACAGUGUCGUCUGAGUACUAUAUAAUAGUUAAAACUUUCAACAACGGAUCUCUUGGUUCUGGCAUCGAUGAAGAACGCAGCGAAAUGCGAUAAGUAAUGUGAAUUGCAGAAUUCAGUGAAUCAUCGAAUCUUUGAACGCGCAUUGCGCCCCUUGGUAUUCCGGGGGGCAUGCCUGUUCGAGCGUCAUUAUAACCCCUCAAGCUCAGCUUGGUGUUGGGGCCUGCCGACUGGCAGCCCUUAAAAUCAGUGGCGGCGCCAUCUGGCUCUAAGCGUAGUAAUUUCUCUCGCUAUAGAGUCCCGGUGGAUGCUUGCCAGCAACCCCCAACUUUCUAUGGUUGACCUCGGAUCAGGUAGGGAUACCCGCUGAACUUAAGCAUAUCAAUAAGCGGAGGAAAAGAAACCAACAGGGAUUGCCUCAGUAACGGCGAGUGAAGCGGCAACAGCUCAAAUUUGAAAUCUGGCUCUUUCAGGGUCCGAGUUGUAAUUU
rnacentral:rRNA from 1 species